rnacentral:rRNA from 1 species
UACAGAGGGGGCAAGCGUUGUUCGGAAUUACUGGGCGUAAAGGGCGCGUAGGCGGCCAACUAAGUCGGACGUGAAAUCCCUCGGCUUAACCGGGGAACUGCGUCCGAUACUGGAUGGCUUGAGUUCGGGAGAGGGAUGCGGAAUUCCAGGUGUAGCGGUGAAAUGCGUAGAUAUCUGGAGGAACACCGGUGGCGAAGGCGGCAUCCUGGACCGACACUGACGCUGAGGAGCGAAAGCCAGGGGAGCAAACGGG